CCUACGGGAGGCAGCAGUGAGGCAUAUUGGUCAAUGGACGAGAGUCUGAACCAGCCAAGUAGCGUGAAGGAUGACUGCCCUAUGGGUUGUAAACUUCUUUUAUAUGGGAAUAAAAUGUUCCACGUGUGGGAUUUUGUAUGUACCAUAUGAAUAAGGAUCGGCUAACUCCGUGCCAGCAGCCGCGGUAAUACGGAGGAUCCGAGCGUUAUCCGGAUUUAUUGGGUUUAAAGGGAGCGUAGGUGGAUUGUUAAGUCAGUUGUGAAAGUUUGCGGCUCAACCGUAAAAUUGCAGUUGAAACUGGCAGUCUUGAGUACAGUAGAGGUGGGCGGAAUUCGUGGUGUAGCGGUGAAAUGCUUAGAUAGCACGAAGAACUCCGAUUGCGAAGGCAGUUCACUGGACUGCAACUGACACUGAGGCUCGAAAGUGUGGGUAUCAAACAGGAUUAGAUACCCCAGUAGUC
rnacentral:rRNA from 1 species